rnacentral:rRNA from 1 species
UUGCUAGAAGUGGAUUAGUGGCGCACGGGUGAGUAAGGUAUAGUUAAUCUGCCCUACACAAGAGGACAACAGUUGGAAACGACUGCUAAUACUCUAUACUCCUGCUUAACACAAGUUGAGUAGGGAAAGUUUUUCGGUGUAGGAUGAGACUAUAUAGUAUCAGCUAGUUGGUAAGGUAAUGGCUUACCAAGGCUAUGACGCUUAACUGGUCUGAGAGGAUGAUCAGUCACACUGGAACUGAGACACGGUCCAGACUCCUACGGGAGGCAGCAGUAGGGAAUAUUGCGCAAUGGGGGAAACCCUGACGCAGCAACGCCGCGUGGAGGAUGACACUUUUCGGAGCGUAAACUCCUUUUCUUAGGGAAGAAUUCUGACGGUACCUAAGGAAUAAGCACCGGCUAACUCCGUGCCAGCAGCCGCGGUAAUACGGAGGGUGCAAGCGUUACUCGGAAUCACUGGGCGUAAAGGGCGCGUAGGCGGAUUAUCAAGUCUCUUGUGAAAUCUAAUGGCUUAACCAUUAAACUGCUUGGGAAACUGAUAGUCUAGAGUGAGGGAGAGGCAGAUGGAAUUGGUGGUGUAGGGGUAAAAUCCGUAGAUAUCACCAAGAAUACCCAUUGCGAAGGCGAUCUGCUGGAACUCAACUGACGCUAAGGCGCGAAAGCGUGGGGAGCAAACAGGAUUAGAUACCCUGGUAGUCCACGCCCUAAACGAUGUACACUAGUUGUUGGGGUGCUAGUCAUCUCAGUAAUGCAGCUAACGCAUUAAGUGUACCGCCUGGGGAGUACGGUCGCAAGAUUAAAACUCAAAGGAAUAGACGGGGACCCGCACAAGCGGUGGAGCAUGUGGUUUAAUUCGAAGAUACGCGAAGAACCUUACCUGGGCUUGAUAUCCUAAGAACCUUUUAGAGAUAAGAGGGUGCUAGCUUGCUAGAACUUAGAGACAGGUGCUGCACGGCUGUCGUCAGCUCGUGUCGUGAGAUGUUGGGUUAAGUCCCGCAACGAGCGCAACCCACGUAUUUAGUUGCUAACGGUUCGGCCGAGCACUCUAAAUAGACUGCCUUCGUAAGGAGGAGGAAGGUGUGGACGACGUCAAGUCAUCAUGGCCCUUAUGCCCAGGGCGACACACGUGCUACAAUGGCAUAUACAAUGAGACGCAAUACCGCGAGGUGGAGCAAAUCUAUAAAAUAUGUCCCAGUUCGGAUUGUUCUCUGCAACUCGAGAGCAUGAAGCCGGAAUCGCUAGUAAUCGUAGAUCAGCCAUGCUACGGUGAAUACGUUCCCGGGUCUUGUACUCACCGCCCGUCACACCAUGGGAGUUGA